UAAUUGGGGGGUGGGAUGAAAGGUUUUAUGGGGAAUAGCUGUUUCAGAAUAAAUAAAUUGAAUUUAAGUUUUGCAUAAAAACUUGCAAAUGUUCUUGAGGGACGAGAAGACCCUGUGGAUUUUUAUUUGUUAAAAAAUAAAUUUUAUAAUAUUUUAUUUUUUAUCCAAAUUUGGUUGGGAUGACAAUAAAAUUAACUUUAUUCAGAGGAUAAUAAUUAGAUCCUUUUUAAGGAAAAAAGAACAAAUUACCCCAGGGAUAACAGCGUAAUACUUUUGGACAGGACAAAUGGAUAAAAGUGUUUGCGACUC
rnacentral:rRNA from 1 species